GUGCCAGCCGCCGCGGUAAGACAGAGGAGGCGAGCGUUAUCCGGAGUUAUUGGGCGUAAAGGGUACGUAGGCGGCUGGUCAAGUCUGGGGUUAAAGACCACAGCUUAACUGUGGGGGGGCCUUGGAAACUGACUGGCUGGAGUGGGGCAGGGGUUGCGGGAAUUCCCGGUGUAGCGGUGAAAUGCGUAGAGAUCGGGAAGAACACCUGAGGCGAAAGCGCGCAACUGGGCCCUAACUGACGCUGAGGUACGAAAGCUAGGGGAGCGAAUGGGAUUAGAUACCCCAGUAGUCCUAGCCGUAAACGAUGGACACUAGACGUUGGCCGUAUCGACCCGGUCAGUGUCGUAGCUAACGCGUUAAGUGUCCCGCCUGGGGAGUACGCACGCAAGUGUGAAACUCAAAGGAAUUGACGG
rnacentral:rRNA from 1 species